rnacentral:rRNA from 1 species
UACAGAGGUCCCAAGCGUUGUUCGGAUUCACUGGGCGUAAAGGGUGCGUAGGCGGCGCGGUAAGUCGGAUGUGAAAUCUCCAGGCUCAACCUGGAGGGGUCAUUCGAUACUGCCGUGACUAGAGUUCGGUAGGGGAGUGUGGAAUUCCUGGUGGAGCGGUGAAAUGCGCAGAUAUCAGGAGGAACACCCGUAGCGAAGGCGGCACUCUGGGCCGAUACUGACACUGAGGAGCGAAAGCGUGGGGAGCGAACAGG